rnacentral:tRNA from 1 species
GAUUAUUUAGUUUAUAAAAAUAUAAAAUUGCAAAUUUUAUGAUGCGCUAAGCAAUAGUCU